GGGGCCGUAGCUCAGCUGGGAGAGCGCUUGAAUGGCAUUCAAGAGGUCAGGGGUUCGAUCCCCCUCGGCUCCACCA
rnacentral:tRNA from 2 species